ACUUGACCACCUGAUGGAGGAGUAGAGGUCAUCAGGGAACAAGGCGGGAACAGUCAGUGAGAGGGCAAACAUGGAGGAGACUGAAGCCGAAGAGGACGUGCAGUCUGGUGAACCAGCAAACUGGGUUGUGGCCUAUGGCCAGAUGUGGCGGGAAAUGACCGAGCAAGAUGGGCCUGUGCUUUGCAGCAACAUGCCCAUCAUAUACUCUGGCCCUGGCUCCAGUUACCAUUCCCCAGCUGAAUGUGGCCUUGACCACCUGAUUGCUUGACCUAACAAAUGAUUGUUGGAACACCAUUGUAGGUGGCUGGGCUUUGUGGUAGGUGGGGCAGCAUGGGGAACAGAACAGGCCUGGUUUACAUCAUUGUGGACAGCCAAGAAGCAUCUACUGUCCAGCAACAUCUACUGUCAACUGCUCAGAUGCCCUUCAACUGACCUAUAUUACAUUACAUCAUUAUUACAUUAUUAUCACCACGGUUAUGAUGUAUUACAUUGAUAUCUCAUUAAAAGAUGACAUAAUUAUA